ACAAUGAGAUUUUUAAAAAAAAAAUAGUAUAAGACUGUGGUGUGUGUGUGUGUGUGUGUGCGCCAAGAUGUUUCUGUAACAAAAUGGAACAAAAUGACAGAACUUCACUGUUUGAACUGUUGGAAACUGCUUGACAUGUGCACAGUUUGAAAGAUCCAACAAUAAUUCAUUUGAAUAAUAGAAGUUUUAGGGUACACUAGAUGUACAGUAUAUACAUAUAGCACAAAUACAUAGAAUAUAACUAAUUUUUCCAUUAAAAAACAGUUAUAAACUUUGAUUCAAACAAAAAAGCGUGGCAUUUAGUGUAUAGAGCCCAAGCUUAUUAUUAAGUUAUUAUCACUCUCAGUGUAUUAUUCCGUUACUGUCAGUCCUAAAGCUUAUUGUUUAAUUACUAUCAGUUUAGUUUAUUAUUAUUAUUAUUAAGUUUAUUAUUCAGGAAUAGUUUAGAGAGUUAUAAGAGCAGAGCAGUAUAAACAUAGAAUAAAAGUGCCUUUUUGGUUGAACGGUCAUUCAGAGAUAAAUGUGUAGGUUGUUUUUUUUUGUUUUUUUUUUAACUGUAUGUCAAUUUUGAAUUAUUUAUUAAAUAAUACUAAAUAUUUUGUACUUCUAUUAAUGUUAAUACACAUAUAUAUGUACUAUCCAUCUACCUGUCUAUCUAUCCAUCUAUCUAUCUUUCUGUCUUGAUCGUAGAUUAUUCUAGAUUAUUUUGUUUCUUUUAUCACAAAACAGAAAAAUACCAAUUUAUGCCUAUUUCAUAUUUUUUUUAAAAAUAUAUAUAUAUAUUAUUUAAACACACACCUUUUAGAUUCCUCUUUCAUUCCUUGGCAUUUCCCCAAUAUUUUAUUAUAAUUUGAUUUUGUUACAUCAUCCCUGCUGUUUUUUUGCUCUUUAUCUAUUAUCAAUAUUUGUUUGCUAUUAAUCAGUUAUCUAUUAAUGCCUACUGUAGAAGUCCCAUAGGGUCAUACUAUUUGCUUUUUUUUCCCCACCGCUCUCUUAUGUUCCUCCCAUUUGAACCCAGGAAUACCCUGCUCUUGCCUGAAUCAUGUUUCCUGCUUGGAUAUGAUGUAUUUUCUCAGGGAUUUUUUUAAGCAGUCUUUACCGUAGGUCUUUCCAGGGUUGAGCCAUCACCUUUGUGGUUGAUCCCUCCCGCCUCUCUCAUGGACUCUUCACUACCAGACGUAGCAACAGGUUUCCUGACUCUAUAUGGCCAAAAGAUUGUGGAAACCUGACCAACCUGAAAUUGUAAUGAUACAGCAUACAGAGACUUCUCCCCUCUUCAUCCUCUGCUUUCUCUCUCCCUCGCUCUCGUGUCUCCCCCUACCCAUUCACAAAGACGGACGCAUCGGACAGGGGGUUGGGGGUCGUAUUGUCCCAGGUAGUGUAGGGGUUGGAGUACCCCGUGCUGUACAUCAGCCAUAAGCGCUCCAUGCGAGAGACGAAGUACAGCACAAUAGAGAAGGAGUGCCUGGC